AUUGAACGCUGGCGGCAUGCUUUACACAUGCAAGUCGAACGGUAACAGGCCGCAAGGUGCUGACGAGUGGCGAACGGGUGAGUAAUGCAUCGGAACGUGCCCAGUCGUGGGGGAUAACGCAGCGAAAGCUGCGCUAAUACCGCAUACGAUCUAUGGAUGAAAGCGGGGGACCGUAAGGCCUCGCGCGAUUGGAGCGGCCGAUGUCAGAUUAGGUAGUUGGCGGGGGAAAGGCUCACCAAGCCAACGAUCUGUAGCUGGUCUGAGAGGACGACCAGCCACACUGGGACUGAGACACGGCCAAGACUCCUACGGGAGGGAGCAGUGGGGAAUUUUGGACAAUGGGCGCAAGCCUGAUCCAGCAAUGCCGCGUGCAGGAAGAAGGCCUUCGGGUUGUAAACUGCUUUUGUACGGAACGAAACGGUCCUGGUUAAUACCCGGGGCUAAUGGCGGUACCGUAAGAAUAAGCACCGGCUAACUACGUGCCAGCCGCCGCGGUAACAC
rnacentral:rRNA from 1 species